UAAGGUAGCGAAAUUCCUUGUCGGGUAAGUUCCGACCUGCACGAAUGGUGUAACCAUGGCCACGCUGUCUCCACCCGAGACUCAGUGAAAUUGAAAUCGCAGUGAAGAUGCUGUGUACCCGCACCUAGACGGAAAGACCCCGUGAACCUUUACUGCAGCUUGGCUGUGGCACCGAAAAUAAUAUGUGUAGGAUAGGUGGGAGGCUUUGAAGCAGCGGCGCCAGUCGUUGUGGAGCCAUCCUUGAAAUACCACCCUUAUUCUUUUCGUUGUCUAACCGCGUCCCUGGAUGGGACCGGGACCCAGCCUGGCGGGCAGUUUGACUGGGGCGGUCGCCUCCUAAAGAGUAACGGAGGCGCGCGAUGGUGGGCUCAGACCGGUCGGAAAUCGGUCGUCGAGUGCAAUGGCAUAAGCCCGCCUGACUGCGAGACAGACAAGUCGAGCAGAGACGAAAG
rnacentral:rRNA from 1 species